UGUGUGAGAAAAUUAAUUAGCAUCGGGCUAAUUAAUUCACAAGCUUCCGGAGGCGUACGGCAGCAAGGAAGGGGAGUCGAGUAGUAAGCCAAUAUUAAUUAGAGAAACUAAUUAAUUAAGGUGGCUCCGUCCGUACGGUUAGAGAAGAAGCACCGCGUCUUUGCAUGCGACGUCGGAUCGGAGUCGACAGCAGGAGCGACGGUUCUCGACUAAUUGCCUGAGCGGUUCGGAUUCUUCGAAGCAACGGCAUAAAGGAAUUUGGUCAGAGUUUCUAUACUUCUCUAAUUUGGUCUUAUCGGUUUUACGAAAAGCUUUUUCGGCAUUUUCUUAGAGUUUUCGUUGGAACAAGAGAAAUGUGGGAUUCACCAUAAGGCUCUUGGUUUUUAUCCGGAGAAGACAUAAGGUGUAAGGUUGUAGUUCUAUUUCUUCAUAUAGUGAAAUACAACUCUCUCGCUCUCUCCGUGGACGCAGGUAAUUGUCGAACCACGUAAAUCUUGGUUUCUCCUUUCUGCAUUUAUUUCUUUUACCGUUCGUUCGGUGUUUUCUCUAUUUUUCAUGCAUUUUUAUUGGUAGCACAUGACGGACGAUCCAUCCGGUUCCCAACGC
rnacentral:lncRNA from 1 species